rnacentral:lncRNA from 1 species
AUUAAGAAAUAAUUUUAUUGUUUAACAAUCCCAUGAUUGAAAAGGCAUGUUUCUGAUCCCAAAUAGACAAGAAGCACACUGUGAAACAAAAUUCUCUUUGAAAACUUAGCUUGUGAACUUAUUAUACUGCAAAGAAUCACAUUUUUUAAGCUGCAGCCAACAUUUGAAACUGGUAAAACACUUUACUCCAAGCUUUGUAGCAGAAAUUUUAAAGCAUUAUUAAAACCAUGUCAGCCAAAGAACAGGACAGCAGAGGCAUCGACUGUGGCCUGUCUUACGAGAAGCAUUAAAAAUCAGCACCCCGCAUCCUGCAUGGCCGUCUCCAGGGAGGACCAGAAGGGUCAGAGAGCUGAGGCCCCUUCUUCCACAGCAGCUCUAGGUGUUCUAUUCUGCAAUGUUUCUAGCUAUUAAUUUGGCCAAAUUUGGCUUCUUAGAAGAGUCUUUGUCAUUUAAUAAGCACAGUGUAGGAUGGGGAAAGUAUGAAGGUGUGAGGGAGCGGGAAGAAUACAAAAACAAUCACUUCUGAGACUUGCUGAUGCUCAAGAAAUCAGAGAGCCUCCGCGAGGGUCUCCUGACCUGAGAGCGCGUGCUUGAGGAAACACUGCUUAGAGGUAGCUCUGGUUCUGCUCCUGCUGUCCUCACUCACUGUGUCCUAACAUGGGAGAAGCUUCCAGUAUCGUCAGCAACCUAGAAACACUCCCAACUUCCUCCUCACACGCAGAAAAGGUAAGGAAGAGCUGGAUACGACUCCACCUAAUACAACAGCUGAUGGAGCAGCCCACGGCCUGAGCCUCGACAGGGUUAGGGAGGAAACCCUGUACGAGCUCUAGGAGCUGGACCUGCAGAGGUGGGGAGGGGUGAGGCGUGUCCACAGCAUGCAGGGACUGGGGAGGUGACUGUUGACAAUUCCCUUUAUGCUCUGCAUGGCACAUUCUGCCACAGCAACCAAGCGACCUAAACAGGAACAGACUCACCGUAUGAACGGAUGCCUCUGCCCCUCGGCCCCUCCCCACUUGUACUUCAUGCAGGAGAGAACAAUCACCAUUAUCUACUUGGGGUAAGGCCUUAGAAGGAGUAGGCAAGUUUGCUUGGAAACAGCAUGUUCUGUUACAAACACGUCCUACACAUAACCUGAAGUGCUGAGAUGAGUGUGCUCCACUAACAGUCC